rnacentral:rRNA from 1 species
UACGUAGGGGGCAAGCGUUAUCCGGAAUUACUGGGCGUAAAGGGUGCGUAGGUGGCCCUGUAAGUCAAAGGUGUAAGGCUACGGCUCAACCGUAGUAAGCCUUUGAAACUGUAGGGCUUGAGUGCAGGAGAGGAAAGUGGAAUUCCCAGUGUAGCGGUGAAAUGCGUAGAUAUUGGGAGGAACACCAGUUGCGAAGGCGGCUUUCUGGACUGUAACUGACACUGAGGCACGAAAGCGUGGGGAGCGAACAGG